CCUACGGGUCGCACCAGUGGGGAAUAUUGGACAAUGGGCGAAAGCCUGAUCCAGCAAUGCCGCGUGUGUGAAGAAGGUCCUCGGAUUGUAAAGCACUUUCGACGGGGACGAUGAUGACGGUACCCGUAGAAGAAGCCCCGGCUAACUUCGUGCCAGCAGCCGCGGUAAUACGAAGGGGGCUAGCGUUGCUCGGAAUGACUGGGCGUAAAGGGCGCGUAGGCGGUUUAUGCAGUCAGAUGUGAAAUCCCCGGGCUUAACCUGGGAACUGCAUUUGAGACGCAUAGACUAGAGGUCGAGAGAGGGUUGUGGAAUUCCCAGUGUAGAGGUGAAAUUCGUAGAUAUUGGGAAGAACGCCGGUGGCGAAGGCGGCAACCUGGCUCUAUACUGACGCUGAGGCGCGAAAGCGUGGGGAGCAAACGGGAUUAGAUACCCUUGUA
rnacentral:rRNA from 1 species